AUUGAACGCUGGCGGCAUGCUUUACACAUGCAAGUCGAACGGUAACAGGCCGCAAGGUGCUGACGAGUGGCGAACGGGUGAGUAAUGCAUCGGAACGUGCCCAGUCGUGGGGGAUAACGCAGCGAAAGCUGUGCUAAUACCGCAUACGAUCUAUGGAUGAAAGCGGGGGACCGUAAGGCCUCGCGCGAUUGGAGCGGCCGAUGUCAGAUUAGGUAGUUGGUGGGGUAAAGGCUCACCAAGCCAACGAUCUGUAGCUGGUCUGAGAGGACGACCAGCCACACUGGAACUGAGACACGGUCCCAGACACCUACGGGUGGCAG
rnacentral:rRNA from 1 species